GAACGCCUUAUGCGAUGAAAGUCGCACGUAGGGUGUGAAGUGGGGGAAAAAGAGGAGAUAAAAUCAAAUCUUUACCUAUCACUAU
rnacentral:ncRNA from 1 species